ACCGAUUCUGCUAGAGAAACCACACUGGAGCAAUUUGUAAAAUCUCUGGGAAGGAGUCCUUCUGGGUGGCCGGAUUUUUGCUCCCUAACUCUGCCGAAGGCCUCCUUGGAAAUACAUCCCUGGGAAUGACAUUCCCGAAUCAAAAGACCUUAAGCUGCUUCCAGCUCUUGCUCCAGUGU
rnacentral:lncRNA from 1 species